CAUGGCUAGAGAGCUAAACUUGCUUUUAUCAUCUUUUUUAUUAGAUUUUUUUUUUUUUUUUUUUUUUACCCUGGAUUUAAUAUUUACAGUAAGCUUUGCAGAACUGCUCAGCUUUUGUGUUCUUUCACUCUGAAGCUACAAAAUGAUGUGGAGUUUUCUGGCAUAAACAGAUGUCAGCAUGUGAUCACUUAAUAAAGCUUGCAUUAUGUUGACUGUUUAAUAAUCACCGCUCUUAAAAGGUUAACCGCCCUGAGCCAUGGUAGUGAUACUGACACAACAGAAAUGUGAGAGUAAAACCAGAAAUGGUUUAGGUCACAAGAUUGGUCUAGAAAAAGUAGGCUUUCAGUUGUUAUUUCAUCAGUUGCCUGUGGAAAUCUCCGGUCCUCCAAAGUAAAGCCAAUGAAGAAACUGCAGUUCCUCAAGUGUCCACUUGGGGCUGGCUGUGAAAGCUUUCAAAGCCACAUACACAUUCAUUCUAAGAAGUCCUUUGGUCUAAAUAGCUCAUUUCUGUACAUUUAAGGAGAUAAAGUUUCUCUUUUUUUUCACCAAUACAUUUUUAAGUUAUUAGGGUUAAGAUUUUUGAUGAUUUUAUGUAAGUUGACAGUUUUUAUUUGAUAAUCUUAUGGAGUCAAGUGCUGCUUUGCCCUUGUCUUGUCUUUCUUCAGUUUAGCUGGUUAUGUUCUUGAGUUUUCCAUAAAUAUGGUAAAAAUAUUAUUAUCAUGAUAUUUUAUGGCUCCAAUAAUCAUGAGGUGACAAUCUGAUUUCCUUACAGCUCCGGUUGAGUUUGGAUUUUCCAAUAUGGCACCACACCAUUAUAUGAUGUGUAUUUUGACUUUAGUAUUUACCCUUGCAUAAUUUCUCCUGUUUGUAUUUCUGCUGCUUGGUUUCAAUAUGAUAUAUUGACCUUCUCAAAUUGGCUUAACCCUGAUUUUGAAUGGUCACUGAAUGUUUUACUUUCAAAUCAUAAAAAUUGGGACUGAGAUACAUCAUUAGAGGUAUUCUGUCAUUUUGGGGGAGUUUUUGGUGAAAGCCGAGCUCAGCAUGUGAUCAAAGGAUAAAGCAGUCAUUAUUUUGUCAUUUUAAUAAGCAUCACUCUGUCCAAAGCUCAUAAUUGACCGAAAAACACAACAACCUUAUCCUGCAUGUACUGUCUGUGUUAGCUGCAGCCUGAUUGAUGGUUUUUGGCAGCACGGUGGACACGGUGUCAUCUCUGAUGACGCAACAGCUGAGGGGAAUGAACUGAAGCUCUUGUAAAAUAAUGAAGGCAUGAAGGAAUGCUGCUCAUUUAUUCCUUUCAGUCCUUUAUCAUGUUGAUGCCACACAACAACACGUGAUCUGCAGCCAGAAGCUGGAUUUUCCAACCUUUGAAUUAUGUCUGUCACUAAUUCAGAAAGAGUUAUAAAUCCAAGGGAAUAAAAAUAUAAUACAAGGAAAAAUCAGUUAGUGAGGACUGUAGGAAGUUUAUUUUAUGGAGCCUUAUCAGAGAGGGAUCAUCUUUACUUUAAACAAGGCUCUCACAUACACUGAAGUCUUUAUAUUUUUUACAUUAAUUCAUCAACUGUUCUCAAGAUUUUGAGAACUAAAGCAGGAUAUCUAGAGUCUAAAUUGUUUCAUAUUGAUUCAAUAUUUUUAAAGAAAGUAUUAAGAUAAAACUCCUGUUCUUAUCUCCCAGACAGAAUAAAUGAUUAAACACGGACAAAUUUUUUGUCUGCGAGUGGAAAUAAAAUGUUAAAGCUCCUUUAAGAAGUCUUUGGACCGAUUAUCAAACAGUGAUGCCUCUUCAAGUAAAAGCAUUUAUAACAAAACUGACAGUUUCCAUGUUGGAUUUUUUUGCUCCUAUAAACCUUGUGAGGGUGUUGGUGUCAGAUAUGUCGACUAUAUCAUCCUCUGAAAACAGCUUUUUCUACAUUUUCCACAUCAAGUAUUUAUAGUGACAGAUGUAUCUGACUAUUAAAGAGAUAAUCAGUGAUGCUCACCUUACAUGUUGGUGGUAAUAUUGAGGGUGAUGUGUAGGAAUGUAAAAAGAUAUCUGUGGCCUUCUGCUUAAGGGUCAUGCAUCCUCAUACAUUAAAGUGCUGUAUGCAUUGUGUCUUUAUAGACAAACACAGUUUCUGUCAAUAUAACAGGAAUUUUGUUGUAUCAACUGACUUUAUCACACUAACAUCGGUGGAUAUCCAUUAGAAAUUGUCCUUCCAUAUCAACACGAACAAGAGGACGCAUGAAACUUUGGAGAACUCGUAAAAG
rnacentral:lncRNA from 1 species